UACACACGGAUAACAUACCGAAAGGUAUGCUAAUACGGGAUAAUAUAUUUGAGAGGCAUCUCUUAAAUAUCAAAGGUGAGCCAGUACAGGAUGGACCCGCGUCUGAUUAGCUAGUUGGUAAGGUAACGGCUUACCAAGGCGACGAUCAGUAGCCGACCUGAGAGGGUGAUCGGCCACAUUGGAACAGAGACACGGUCCAAACUCCUACGGGAGGCAGCAGUGGGGAAUAUUGCACAAUGGGCGAAAGCCUGAUGCAGCAACGCCGCGUGAGUGAUGAAGGCCUUCGGGUCGUAAAACUCUGUCCUCAAGGAAGAUAAUGACGGUACUUGAGGAGGAAGCCCCGGCUAACUACGUGCCAGCAGCCGCGGUAAUACGUAGGGGGCUAGCGUUAUCCGGAUUUACUGGGCGUAAAGGGUGCGUAGGCGGUCUUUCAAGUCAGGAGUGAAAGGCUACGGCUCAACCGUAGUAAGCUCUUGAAACUGGGAGACUUGAGUGCAGGAGAGGAGAGUGGAAUUCCUAGUGUAGCGGUGAAAUGCGUAGAUAUUAGGAGGAACACCAGUUGCGAAGGCGGCUCUCUGGACUGUAACUGACGCUGAGGCACGAAAGCGUGGGGAGCAAACAGGAUUAGAUACCCUGGUAGUCCACGCUGUAAACGAUGAGUACUAGGUGUCGGGGGUUACCCCCUUCGGUGCCGCAG
rnacentral:rRNA from 1 species